UUUGGAAGCUAAGCAGGCUCAACCUGGGUUAAUACUUGGAUGGGAGACCACCAGGAAACACGAGGAAGCCUCCAAGU
ensembl:rRNA 5S_rRNA 5S ribosomal RNA